AUAUAUAAGCAGGGGAGCUUUUUGCUGAGAGGAAAAAUUAAUUUUCGACCCUUAACCUGAUGUGGAUAAUGCCAACGUAGGAAGCAUUUAAUGAUGAUUA
rnacentral:ncRNA from 2 species